AUUGAACGCUGGCGGAAUGCUUUACACAUGCAAGUCGAACGGCAGCACGGACUUCGGUCUGGUGGCGAGUGGCGAACGGGUGAGUAAUGUAUCGGAACGUGCCCAGUCGUGGGGGAUAACGUAGUGAAAAUUACGCUAAUACCGCAUACGAUCUAUGGAUGAAAGCGGGGGAUCGCAAGACGUCGCGCGAUUGGAGCGGCCGAUAUCAGAUUAGGUAGUUGGUGGGGUAAAGGCCCACCAAGCCAACGAUCUGUAGCUGGUCUGAGAGGACGACCAGCCACACUGGAACUGGCACACGGUCCAGACUCCUACGGGAGGCAGCAGUGGGGAACUCUGGACAAUGGGCGAAAGCCUGAUCCAGCCAUUCCGCGUGCAGGAUGAAGGCCCUCGGGUUGUAAACUGCUUUUGUACAGAACGAAAAGGUUUCUACUAAUACUAGGAGCUCAUGACGGUACUGUAAGAAUAAGCACCGGCUAACUACGUGCCAGCCGCCGCUGUAA
rnacentral:rRNA from 1 species